rnacentral:rRNA from 1 species
AUUGAACGCUGGCGGCGUGCUUAACACAUGCAAGUCGUGCGGUAACAGGCGUAGCAAUACGUGCUGACGAGCGGCGAACGGGUGCGUAAUACAUGGGAAUCUGCCCUUUAGUGGGGAAUAACCCGGCGAAAGCCGGGCUAAUGCCGCAUAAGAUCUUCGGAUGAAAGCGGGGAUCGUAAGACCUCGCGCUGAUGGAUGAGCCCAUGUCGGAUUAGCAGUUGGUGAGGUAACGGCUCACCAAGGCGACGAUCCGUAGCUGGUCUGAGAGGACGGCCAGCCACACUGGGAC